GUUGGGGAGGGGCCCGAGGGCCCCGGGGGGCGGGGACGGCUGCUGGAACGACGGAGGGAAGGGGCCAAAGGAAGAGAGGAGGGAGGCAGGCAGGCAGGCAGGCAGGCAGGCAGGCGGCCAGCCGGACCGCUUGGAAGUGAUGAUUACGGUGCUUGGCACACAGGAAAGUGAGAUCAGAACCCAACAGCCCCCUCCCCAGACCAAGACAAGAGAGAAGUAGCCACUGUUCCCUCAGGGACAGUUCCAGGGUCCUUGGGACGGUGUCUUCUAGACCAGGAUUGUCUCAAAGGCCGUUUAACCAGCCCGUGUGAACGGGCCAUCAUACUUGCCAGAAACUGUCCACUUCUGCUGCCCUGGAGCCCCGCGUGGAACAAGGCCGGCGUCCAACUUCUCUUCCGUCUUCCUCAGUGCUUACUACAGGGCCGGGCGUAACAGCUUAAAGACCACAACGAUCUGCUGCAUCGUUGGUGCAUCCAACGUGGGCUCCGGAGACGAGGAGGCGCGUCCAGUCGUCGAGCUGGCUGAAAAUCGUCUCGGUGAGAGCGGGUCACUCUGCUUGGCUUCUCGGCGUAGGUUCAUUACGUUAUGUCUCCUCCAGGAGGACUGUGGACGUCGAGUCAAUCGCUGUUUUGUUGAGCGAUUGAAAGCUCUGCCGAAUUCCAUCGGAUUGAACAGUUUCAUGUCAGUCGAUAAACAGAAAGCCAACGGGCAUUUGGUAUUCUCGUCAUUUUUCUGUUAGCUGGCAGAGGUAGUGGACGUGGUCAGUAGUUUAGCAUCUGGAGC
rnacentral:lncRNA from 1 species